AAGUAUCUGUGCAAUGUAAAAAUAUCUGUGUGUGUGUAAUACUGGAUUUGUAACUCAUGUAACCGUCUUUGUGUGUAACUUUGGAUAGUUGUGUCUGUGAAACAUGAUUUGUAAACUGUAAAAAGAAAAUAAACCUUCUCCUACGCCUACAAAUGUUGAAAAAGUACACACGAGUCACCAGAUACACACACACAAAACUGCAUUUACGCACAGAUCCGGUUUUCAGACUCAUUUCACGAUUCCGGAGCUCCCAAUGUGUAGAUGGUAGAUGUAGAUGUUUUACAUGGUAGUAGAAAGCUGGGUCAUCUGAUGUUUGCUCCGAGUCUAGUGUUUUUAUCUUCUAAACGUUUCUCACUGUACUUGUGCCGAAGUGGCAAAUAUGUUAGUUCGGUGGAAAACGGUAUAUCUCAGCACUUCCUUACAAUAUUCCAAAAUUAUUUAUAGACAUAUUGUGCAUUUUUGAGCGGUACGGGGGACUACGUGGUGUGAAAAACGACCACUGGGUGACGGAAUGGUUCGCUGGUCGGAAAAACAGGCAGGCAAACCAAGAAGCAAGACGGAUUGUCCCGGUGGUCUGCCCUCGGAAUAUUGAAGGUAGACCUGCUCCUGCAGGAACAUCAUGCUGCUAGACUUUAUUCACCAGAACAAACUGAAAGACAAUCUGCAGCAGCUGAGAUUCUGGGAGGUUCAACACCAAAACCUCAAGCUUCGAACUGAGCCGUCAACUGGACCAAGACAUCUUUCACAACUUGCUCUGUUGGUAGACGUUAUGGUUUAUCCUCAAUGUCUAGACUGACCUUGGUCUUCUUUGAAUACACAGCUUUAUGGUGUUUUCUUUUGUUAAUUGAUUAUAGUAAAUAUUUGAACAUCCAUGUAAGUUUUCAAACAUUUAAUUGUUAACUUUAGGUAGCUGUGCAAUCACCCAUGUUAAUCUGAACCUAUUUUGUUAAAGAUUAAACAGAUUUGUUGCAAUCUUAAAUAUUUAAUCUGUCCUUUGUGUGCAGUGAAAUGAACAUCAAAGUUAAUUCAGGAAACACUUUUGUCAUCUGCUUUCUACAUUAUAAAUCGAAUGAUGCUUCUAUUAAAAUCAUAUAUUUGUGACAAACUUUUUUUGUCAUAAAGCAGUGGUCAAACGAUGGGUAAAUGUAAUUUACUUUAAACAAAUGGAAACCAAAAAGGUUUUAAAGUAAAGACACUAUGAAUACUCCUCAUCUACCUCAACACAGGUAAAGUUUCCACUGUAUGUAAGUAAAUGUGAUUAUAAUUGAGUGAAAAUUGCACAGCAGGGCUUUAGCUCCAGUUCAGGAGGGUCCAUGUCCUCCAACCUUUAGAUGUCUCUUCUUUAACGCACCUGCGUCAAAUCAUGAGGUUGGAGGUCAUUAGCAUGACUCUGGAGAACCUGACUGUCCUAAGCAGCCAUUUAAUUCAGGUGUGUUGGACCAGGACGUAUCUAAAUGUUGCAGGACACUAGACAUUGAUUCCUGGAUCUGAGGAUUCCCGUUAGAGGAUCAGUGUGUUGCUGUAGCAGCUCCAUCGGAUCAGAGGGUAGAUGAGAUCUCAAAGGUUCUGAUCCUCCAGAAAGUAAAAUAACACCAGACCCAAUCCAUCAGUUAGCCGUUUCGUCAUGUGUAGAGAUUAGGCCUGUCGCGAUAAACGGUAAAUCAAUUAAUCGUACAA